rfam:Camelus ferus unplaced genomic scaffold scaffold1653, whole genome shotgun sequence.
UAUAGCUCAGUGGUAGAGCUCAUGCUUAGCAUGCAUGAGGUCCUGGGUUCAAUCCCCAGUA